CGCGUAGGCGGGAUGGCAAGUCAGAUGUGAAAUCUCAGGGCUCAACCCUGAAACUGCAUUUGAAACUGUCGUUCUUGAGUACUGGAGAGGUUGACGGAAUUCCUAGUGUAGCGGUGAAAUGCGUAGAUAUUAGGAGGAACACCAGUGGCGAAGGCGGUCAACUGGACAGAAACUGACGCUGAGGCGCGAAAGCGUGGGGAGCAAACA
rnacentral:rRNA from 1 species